CAUUAACAGAUAAUUUUUCACUACUUGCAAUUUGAAUCCGAAGACACUUACUUUUUCUUACUUUUUGGUGGCGGUGCCUUGCUUACCCUGUGGCUAGCAUCAGCUGUUGUUGGAGGAAUUGAUUCUAUCCCGGUGUUCCCCAAAUUGUUGGAGAUUGUUGGUCUUGGCUAUACAGUUUGGUUCGCAUCUCGCUAUUUGAUAUUCAAGGGAUAACUAGUAUCGAAGAUAGUGUUGGAAGUGUUACUACUUGGCUCGCCGACAAAGUUAUAAUGAGGUGAUGAAGAUAGCGACACGAGAAUUGGAUGCUUGCAAUUAAUAACGAGAUAGUGUUGGACAAAUGUUACAAUUUGCCUUUUAUUAGACUCAUUAGACAUUAUUUCUAAACAUAAACUUUUAUUAUGGUAUUUUGCACUUGAAA